rnacentral:lncRNA from 1 species
CAGCCACAAAAAAUUUACAUUACAACAAAAUUUCACAAACCAACUAGAAGAAGGGAAGAUAGUACAGCUUCAACAAGAUUCUAAAUUAAUAAACAAGAAAUUUUUAGUUGGAUCUCUUACACAUAUACUAAAAACUAAAGUCAAAAAAAGAAGUACCAUCAAAAUAAAGUAAAUUUACCUAAGAAGACAAGGAUAACAAUAAAAUUUGAACACUCACUUUGUCAAAAUGGAGAACAACACAGAAUGAC